rnacentral:rRNA from 1 species
UACGUAGGGGGCUAGCGUUGUCCGGAAUCAUUGGGCGUAAAGAGCGUGUAGGCGGUCCGGUAAGUCCGCUGUGAAAGUCGGGGGCUCAACCUCGAAUGCCGGUGGAUACUGUCGGGCUAGAGUGCGGAAGAGGCGAGUGGAAUUCCUGGUGUAGCGGUGAAAUGCGCAGAUAUCAGGAGGAACACCUAUUGCGAAGGCAGCUCGCUGGGACGUAACUGACGCUGAGACGCGAAAGCGUGGGGAGCAAACAGG